UACGGAGGGUGCAAACGUCGCUCGGAAUCAUUGGGCGUAAAGCGCACGUAGGCGGCCAACCAAGUUGGAUGUGAAAGCCCCAGGCUCAACCUGGGACGUGCAUUCAAAACUGGCUGGCUUGAGUUCCGGAGGGGCCCAGAGAAUUCCCGGUGUAGAGGUGAAAUUCGUAGAUAUCCCCAAGAACACCAGCUGCGAAGGCGGCCGACUGGACACAUAUUGACGCUGAGGCUCGAAAGCAUGGGGAGCAAACAGG
rnacentral:rRNA from 1 species